rnacentral:rRNA from 14 species
UACCGUGAGGGAAAGAUGAAAAGAACUUUGAAAAGAGAGUCAAAAGUGCUUGAAAUUGUUGAGGGGGAAGGAAUUGGAAGCCGUUUGUGCGCCUGGGCUUAAGUGGGCAAUUCUGCCCAUUGUACGCCUUAGGUGCCGGUCAGCAUCGGCUACUGGACCGGGAUAAUAACUUUCCAUUGGAGAGUGCAUGCCGGCCCGGUGGCCGAGGAUUUGAAAGGUGCUCUUUGAGUCCUUCGGGAACUGCGCCUUCAAGAUGCUGGCAAAAGGCCUUCAAUUCGCCCGUCUUGUAACACGGACCAAGGAGUCUAAC